rnacentral:lncRNA from 1 species
GUGGCUGCUUUGUGACUAGAGAAACAAUAGAACCUUCCUUUUCGUAAAAUAAACAAUAGAACCAUCACAAGGCAAGCUUCUUGGUGACUGACAUUAUCCUUAAGAAUAUCAAGGUUUUCUGGUCAGAAUGGUCUUCUGUUGCUUUAAUUAUCUCCUAAACUGGUAUCUGUCAAUCAGUUAUGCUUCUUAAAACUGCAUUUCAUAAACAUUUCAGUUCUCUUGAAAUGAAUUGAUAGAUCUCCCAUCUUU